rnacentral:rRNA from 1 species
AGUGAACGCUGGCGGUAGGCCUAACACAUGCAAGUCGAACGGCAGCACAGUAAGAGCUUGCUCUUACGGGUGGCGAGUGGCGGACGGGUGAGGAAUACAUCGGAAUCUACUUUUUCGUGGGGGAUAACGUAGGGAAACUUACGCUAAUACCGCAUACGACCUACGGGUGAAAGCAGGGGAUCUUCGGACCUUGCGCGAUUGAAUGAGCCGAUGUCGGAUUAGCUAGUUGGCGGGGUAAAGGCCCACCAAGGCGACGAUCCGUAGCUGGUCUGAGAGGAUGAUCAGCCACACUGGAACUGAGACACGGUCCAGACUCCUACGGGAGGCAGCAGUGGGGAAUAUUGGACAAUGGGCGCAAGCCUGAUCCAGCCAUACCGCGUGGGUGAAGAAGGCCUUCGGGUUGUAAAGCCCUUUUGUUGGGAAAGAAAAGCAGCAGGUUAAUACCCCGCUGUCUGACGGUACCCAAAGAAUAAGCACCGGCUAACUUCGUG